rnacentral:rRNA from 1 species
GACGAACGCUGGCGGCGUGCUUAACACAUGCAAGUCGAACGGAAAGGCCCUGCUUUUGUGGGGUGCUCGAGUGGCGAACGGGUGGGUAACACGUGAGUAACCUGCCCUUGACUUUGGGAUAACUUCAGGAAACUGGGGCUAAUACCGGAUAGGAGCUCCUGCUGCAUGGUGGGGGUUGGAAAGUUUCGGCGGUUGGGGAUGGACUCGCGGCUUAUCAGCUUGUUGGUGGGGUAGUGGCUUACCAAGGCUUUGACGGGUAGCCGGCCUGAGGGGGUGACCGGCCACAUUGGGACUGAGAUACGGCCCAGACUCCUACGGGAGGCAGCAGUGGGGAAUAUUGCACAAUGGGCGGAAGCCUGAUGCAGCAACGCCGCGUGCGGGAUGACGGCCUUCGGGUUGUAAACCGCUUUCGCCUGUGACGAAGCGUGAGUGACGGUAAUGGGUAAAGAAGCACCGGCUAACUACGUG